GACGGAGGGUGCAAGCGUUGUUCGGAUUGACUGGGCGUAAAGGGCGUGUAGGCGGUUGGUCAAGUCUGAUGUGAAAGCCCGGGGCUCAGCUCCGGAAGGGCGUCGGAAACUAACCAGCUAGAGCGCGAUAGAGGAGGGCGGAAUUCCUGGUGUAGCGGUGAAAUGCGUAGAUAUCAGGAGGAACACCGGCGGCGAAGGCGGCCCUCUGGAUCGUU
rnacentral:rRNA from 1 species